ensembl:lncRNA
GCUUAACUGAUGCUUUUUUGGUCAGACAGCAGGAGGAGAGACACAUCUACUGAUUAUUUCAAUGAUGAUACUUUGGUGGUACUUGUUAAUAAUCUGUUUGCAGCAGGUACAGAGAGCAUGGUUUCCACUCUGUGCUGGGGGAUUCUGUUCAUGUCACGAUAUCCUGAGAUCCAGAAAAAGGUCCAUGAUGAGAUUGCCAAAGUCAUGGGGUCCACCCAGCCUUGAAUGGCACACUGAACUCAAAUGCCGUACACAGAUGCUGUCAUUCUCGAAGUGCAGAGAUUUGCUGAUAUCCUGCCCACAGGCUUACCCCGAGCAACCACCACAAAUACUAUAUUUAAAAACAACUAUAUUCCAAAGCAGGUACCAGAUGAAAAUUUGUUAGAGUAUAUGAAUACCCUGCUGCUGCUGCUGCUGCUGCUAAGUUGCUUCAGUCGUGUCCGACUCUGUGCAACCCCAUAGACAGCCUCCUACAAGGCUCCUCUGUCCCUGGGAUUCUCCAGAUACUUUUCCCUUAUAUGUUAAGCUGAAACUCCAGUACUUUGGCCACCUCAUGUGAAGAGUUGACUCAUUGGAAGAGACUCUGAUGCUGGGAGGGAUUUGGGGCAGGAGGAGAAGGGGACGACAGAGAAUGAGAUGGCUGGAUGGCAUCACUGACUCGAUGGACGUCCCCUCUCUAGUGUGCUGGGGAGUCACUGGCCAAGAUGGAGCUUUUGCUUUUCUUCAUGAGUCUCCUGCAGAAGUUCACCUUCCAGCCACCCCCUGGGGUCUCCCAUCUGGACUUGGACCCAACCCGGGAUACUGGUGUCGUCAUCCAACCAAUGCCUCACAAGAUACGUGCUCUGCCCCGAGCCAGGGUCUGCGUGCCAGCUACUGUCCCAGUUCUCUGUUAUUUUGCGGUCCUUUGCACUGACUGCACUGUUCUGCACCUUGACAGCUGUGUACUCUGCCGAGUCCUUCACUGCUUCAGCAGGCAGUCACAUCAUCCCAGAGGCCUCUGGUGUUAAGUCAGAUUGGGUUCCUCUGUUAAUCUCUGCAGCAAAAACCUCCUUACUGCCGUUCUCCAAGACAGUACACAUCAACACAACAUUUGACAAAUAGAACCUACUAGUGCCAUAAGGUUUUGCCCUUUAGUCCGAGAAACUGUCCUUUUCCUCCAAGGCAUAUGAGACAUCUAUGUAUUACUAGCUCUAAUUGCUUGGGGCAGGGCAGGGGGUGCAGUUUUAAUUGGUUGGUGCAGGGGAGGGGGGUGCUGUAUAAUGCUUUGUCUAGAAUGCUCAUGAAUAUCUUUAAAACUGCAGUGAAGAAAAUUUAACUCUUAAGCGAGGGUCCCAUUAAACAUAAGAUAUUGGCUUCAUUCAUUGGUUCAGUCAAUAUAGGAUGACUAAUAACAGAUCAUUGCUUGUGAGUAUGACCAAUUUGCUGAGGUCAGAAAAUGAGGUUCCUGCUUCUGACAUAACUGGAACUUGAAGACCACCCCCCUUCUCUAUGUUCAGUGCUCUGAGUCCCAGUAAAGUCAUACCCAAGGGACCUAUGAGCAGAAUAAAGAAAUCAUUGUCAGUUCCCGUGAGACACAAAGCAUCUUUAGCCUUUACAAAUCAAAUGGAUGUCCCUAAUAUCAAUAUAAAUGAUUCUCCCCUGCUCUUAUCUGAUUCCUAUCAAAGCCAAAAUUGCACUGGACAGGGUUAAACAGUAAAAGAAGGUUUUAUUUAAAGCUAUUGCAAUAGGAGAGAGAGGCCAGAAUUUAGUCUGAGCUCAAUUCAACUGAAACAAGGGAGGCAAAGGUUUUUAAGUGCUAACGUGAGCUAGUGGGUUUAAGGGAUUAGAUCUGAUAAACAGAGUGCCUGAAGAACUAUGGAUGGAGGUUCAUAACAUUGUACAGGAGGCAGUGAUCAAAAUCAUCCCCAAGAAAAAGGAGUGCAAAAAGGCAAAUGGUUGUCUGAGAAGGCCUUACAGGUAGCUGAGAAAAGAAGAGAAGCAAAAGGCAAAUGAGAAAAGGGAAGAUAUAUCCUUCUGAAUACAGAGUUCCAAAGAAUAGCAAGGAGAGAUAAGAAAGCCUUCCUAAGUGAUCAAUGCAAAGAAAUAGAGGAAAACAAUAGAAUGGGAAAGACUAGAGACUUCUUCAAGAAAAUUAGAGAUAGCAAGGGAAUAUUCAUGAAAAGAUGGGCACAAUAAAGGACAAAAACAUUAUGGACCUAACAGAAGCAGAAGAUAUUAAGAAGAAGUAGCAAGAAUACACAGAACUAUACAAAAAAAGAUCUUAAUGACCCAGAUAACCACAAUCGUGUGAUCACUCACCUAGAGCCAAACAUCCUGGAGUGCAAAGUCAAGUGAGCCUUAGAAGGCAUCACUAUGAACAAAGCUAGUUGAGGUGAUAGUAUUCCAGCUGAGCUAUUUCAAAUCCUAAAAGAUGAUGCUGCUAAAGUGUUGUACUCAAUAUGCCAGCAAAUUUGGAAAAAACUCAGUAGUGGCCAUGGGACUGGAAAAGGUCAGUUUGCAUUCCAAUCCCCAAAAAAGGCAAUGCCAAAGAAUGUUCAAGCUACUGCACAAUUGCACUCAUCUCACAAACUGGCCAAGUAAUGCUCAAAAUUCUCCAAGCUAGGUUUCAACAGUAUUUGAACCGUGAACUUCCAGAUGUUCAAACUGGAUUCAGAAAAGGCAGAGGAACUAGAAAUCAAAUUGCCAACAUCCGUUGGAUCUUCAAAAAAGCAAGAAAAUUCCAGAAAAACAUCUACUUCUACUUCAUUGACUAUGCUAAAGCCUUUGACUGUGUGAAUCACAACAAACUGUGGAAAAUUCUUCAAAAGAUGGGAAUACCAGACCACCUUACCUGCCUCCUGAGAAACCUGUAUGCAAAUCAAGAACCUACAGUUAGAACUGGACAUAGAACAACAGACUGGUUGCAAAUUGGAAAAGGAGUAUGUCAAAGCUGUAUAUUGUCGCUCUGCUUAUUUAACUUAUAUGCAGAGUUAUGCAAAAUGCUGGGCUGGAUGAAGCACAAGCUGGAAUCAAGACUGCCGGGAGAAAUAUCAAUAACUUCGGAUAUGGAGAUGACACCACCCUUAUGGCAGAAAGCGAAGAGGAACUAAAGAACCUCCUGAAAGUUAAAAGGGAGAGUGUAAAUGCUGGCUUAAAAUUCAACAUUCAAAAAAUUAAGACCAUGGUAUCUAGUCCCAUCACUUCAUGGCAAAUAGAUGGGGAAACAAUGGAAACAGUCACAGACUUUAUUUUCUUGGGCUCCAAAAUCACCACAGAUGGUGACUGCAGCCAUGAAAUUAAAAGACGCUUGCCCCUUGGAAGAAAAGCUAUGACCAACCUAGACAGCAUAUUAAAAAGCAGAGACAUUACUUUGUUGACAAAGGUUCAUCUAGUCAAAGCUAUGGUUUUUCCAAUAGAGUUGGGCCAUAAAGAAGGCUAACCACUAAAGAAUUGAUGCUUUUGAACUGUGGUGUUGGAGAAAACUCUUGAGAGUCCCUUGGACUUGCAAGAUCAAACCAAUUAAUCCUAAAGGAAAUCAGUCCUGAAUAUUCAUUGGAAGGACUGAUGCUGAAGCUGAAACUCCAAUACUUUGGCCACCUGAUGCGAAGAGCUGACUCAUUGGAAAAGAUCCUGAUGCUGGGAAAGAUUGAAGGCAGGGGGAGAAGGGGACGACAGAAGAUGAGAUGGUUGGAUGGCAUCACCAACUCAAUGAGCGUGAGUUUGAGCAAGAUCCAGGAGUCGGUGAUGGACAGGGAAGCCCAACAUGCUGCAAUCCAUGGGGUCUCAAAGAGUCAGAUACAACUAAGGGACUGAACUAAACUGUGAGCUAGUAGAAAAGUCCUGGAGUGCGGAGUGUGGUCAAUGUGUCCUGCACACUGAAUUAUUCUUUCAUUUGCAAAUAUUAUUCUCUGAUUCUAGAUCUGUGUUUGCUCAUUUUUACCAACAGAAGUUAGGCUCCUACUCGCCCUCAGAGCCUGGGAGAUAGGGACACUAAGUUCCUUAGAGGUUAUAUUUCCACGGGAUGUCUCCCAUGUCCUUGAGACAUCCCUGUAUUGUAAAACUGGCAAGAGAUUUUGAAAAAUAUUUACAUUUUAAAGGGGCUGAGAAAUAAUUCAUAAUUAAAAGUGUUCUCAAGUAAAUUCUCUAAGGAAAAGGGAGGUUAAGGUCUAGAGUCAGAAACUAGCCUGCUUAGGUUAAUCAAGGAGAGAAAAGUACUAAGGCCUUGGUCACCCCCAAUCCAGCAUUCUCCACAAACCCUUUUUAGAAUGAGUCAGAUGGGGGACUUUCCUGGUGGUUCAGUGGUUAAGAAUCCACCUGCCUAUGCAGGGGACACGGGUUUGAUCCCUGGUCUGGGAAGAUCCCAGGUGCUGUACGGCAACUAAGCCCUUGUACCACAACUACUGAGCCGUAUCCUAGACCCUGUGUUCCAACACGAGAGAAGUCGCCACAGUGAGGGGCCCACGCACCGCAACUGGACAGCAGCCUCCACUCACCACAACUAGAGAAAGCCUGUGUGCAGCAGCAAAGACCCAGAGCAGCCAAAAAUAAAUAAUAAUUUAAAAAGAAAGGAUGAGUCAGACUGGGGAAUACUCAGGUACCUUGGCUUCCCAGUGGAACUAAAUGAUUAAAAAAAAAAAAAAAAAUGGGGCUUGCUAAUUUUAAUUUGUUUAAGCAUAUUCAAGAGACAGCUGCAUUUUCUGACUUGCCCAUAAUACAUAAUUGGUGUUCAAUAAUAUAUAGUUAAUUCUAAAUCUAAAGUCAAAAUUAAUUCAUGGACUGCUUUCUUUUACAGAGAUCAACAGAAAUAGCUUUGAUUCAAAAUCAGGAAUUUGAGUUCUAAUUCCAAUCCUUUCAGUUCCCCAUUUUUAUGACUUUAUGACUAUAUAUUGGCAGAGGGAUACUUAGUGAAUGUGACACCAGAAGCAGAU